AGAUGUGAGGGCCAUUUGACCAUGACAUCUGUCACCCCCUAAUCGCCAGGACUGGUUCGGCUAUUGGGCUGGCUAGGCAGGUGUUCCAUUCCUCCCAAUCACUGCUACAAGGCUCCAUUGUGUCCUCCUGAAGCUGGACACUUGGUGGAAGAGGAAAACCUUCCCAAAUGCAGAAGGACUGCUCUUGGGUCAAGGGCAUAUGAAGAGCUGAACUUCCUUGCUGAACCUCCAAACUAGUUCUUAAGAUCAAUUUGUAGGAGAAAGUAGGCAGUUAAGCUUCCAGGACUCCAGGCAUAUCAAAAGAGGCAUAUGCAGCCAUCUGGCUUU
rnacentral:snRNA from 1 species